rnacentral:rRNA from 1 species
GAUGAACGCUGGCGGCGUGCCUACUACACGCAAGUCGAGCGAAGCGGGGACGGAGGAGUAACACGUGGAUCACCUCAUAUAAGACUCGGAUAGCUCCGGGAAACCGGAGCUAAACCGGAUACAUAUAGAUGGCACACAGCUGCAUUUGCGAGUGGGUAGGGUAACGGCUUACCAAGGCAACGAUACAUAGCCGACCUGCGGGGGUGAUCGGCAACAUAGGAACUUGGACACGGACCAUAUACGAACGGUAGGGAGCAGUAGCGAAUCUUACGCAACGGGCGAAAGCCUACCGGAGCAACGCCGCGUGAGUGAUGAAGGUCUUCGGAUCGUAAAACUCUUUUAGUUGGGGAGCGGUACCUAAUCAGAGAGCCACGGCUAACUACGUGCCAGCAGCCGCGGUAAUAC